rnacentral:rRNA from 1 species
GACGAACGCUGGCGGCGUGCUUAACACAUGCAAGUCGAACGGAAAGGCCCUGCUUUUGUGGGGUGCUCGAGUGGCGAACGGGUGAGUAACACGUGAGUAACCUGCCCUUGACUUUGGGAUAACUUCAGGAAACUGGGGCUAAUACCGGAUAGGAGCUCCUGCUGCAUGGUGGGGGUUGGAAAGUUUCGGCGGUUGGGGAUGGACUCGCGGCUUAUCAGCUUGUUGGUGGGGUAGUGGCUUACCAAGGCUUUGACGGGUAGCCGGCCUGAGAGGGUGACCGGGCACAUUGGGACUGAGAUACGGCCCAGACUCCUACGGGAGGCAGCAGUGGGGAGUAUUGCACAAUGGGCGGAAGCCUGAUGCAGCAACGCCGCGUGCGGGAUGACGGCCUUCGGGUUGUAAACCGCUUUCGCCUGUGACGAAGCGUGAGUGACGGUAAUGGGUAAAGAAGCACCGGCUAACUACGUG